AUUAAUUAUUUUGGCAGAUUAGUGCAAUGAAUUUAGAAUUCAUAUAUGUAAUUUUUACAAAUA
rnacentral:tRNA from 1 species